rnacentral:tRNA from 1 species
UUAUCGAGAUCUCAGCUUCUUCAUAAGCUCCCACACGAAUUGCUUGAUUCACUGGUUAGACGAUUGGGUCUGUAGCUCAGUUGGUUAGAGCGCACCCCUGAUAAGGGUGAGGUCGGCAGUUCGAAUCUGCCCAGACCCACCAAUUGUUGGUGUGCUGCGUGAUCCGAUACGGGGCCAUAGCUCAGCUGGGAGAGCGCCUGCUUUGCACGCAGGAGGUCAGGAGUUCGAUCCUCCUUGGCUCCACCAUCUAAAACAAUCGUCGAAAGCUCAGAAAUGAAUGUUCGUGAAUGAACAUUGAUUUCUGGUCUUUGCACCAGAACUGUUCUUUAAAAAUUCGGGUAUGUGAUAGAAGUAAGACUGAAUGAUCUCUUUCACUGGUGAUCAUUCAAGUCAAGGUAAAAUUUGCGAGUUCAAGCGCGAAUUUUCGGCGAAUGUCGUCUUCACAGUAUAACCAGAUUGCUUGGGG